rnacentral:rRNA from 1 species
GUUGGUGACCAGCGGAGGGACAUUAAAGAGUUCUAUAACUCCCAAACCCAUGUGAACAUACCUAACGUUGCCUCGGCAGGUCGCACCUACCUUGUAGCACCCUACCCUGUAGGGCCUACCCGGGAGGUGCGGGUAAGCCUGCCGGCGGCCCACCAAACUCUGUUUGAUAUUGAAUUCUGAACCUAUAACUAAAUAAGUUAAAACUUUCAACAACGGAUCUCUUGGUUCUGGCAUCGAUGAAGAACGCAGCGAAAUGCGAUAAGUAAUGUGAAUUGCAGAAUUCAGUGAAUCAUCGAAUCUUUGAACGCAUAUUGCGCCCAUUAGUAUUCUAGUGGGCAGGACCGUUCGAGCGUCAUUUCAACCCUUAAGCCUUCGUUGCUUAGUGUUGGGAGCCUACGGCAACGUAGCUCCUCAAAGUUAGUGGCGGAGUUGGUUCACACUCUAGACGUAGUAAUUUUUUAUCUCGCCUAUUAGUUGGACUAAUCCCCUGCCGUAAAACCCCCAAUUUAUCAAGGUUGACCUCGAAUCGGUUCAGACAAACUCGCUAAAUUGAAGCAUCUUAGUCAGCGAAGGAAAAGAAACCAACAGGGAUUGCCCUAGUAACGGCGAGUGAAGCGGCAACAGCUCAAAUUUGAAAUCUGGCCCUCGGGUCCGAGU